UCCCUGGAGGACUAGUGGUUAGGCCUCGGUGCUUUCACCACCCUGGUCCGGGUUCAAUUCCAGGCCAGAGAA